rnacentral:rRNA from 1 species
AACGAACGCUGGCGGCAUGCCUAACACAUGCAAGUCGAACGGACGGUAGCAAUACCGUUAGUGGCGGACGGGUGAGUAACGCGUGGGAACCUGCCUCGAAGUUCGGAAUAACCGCGGGAAACUGCGGCUAAUACCGGAUGUGGCCUGAGGGUCAAAGGCGCAAGUCGCUUCGAGAGGGGCCCGCGUCCGAUUAGCUAGUUGGUGGGGUAACGGCCUACCAAGGCGACGAUCGGUAGCUGGUCUGAGAGGAUGAUCAGCCACACUGGGACUGAGACACGGCCCAGACUCCUACGGGAGGCAGCAGUGGGGAA